GCUAUAAAUGUACGUAAUCAGCACAUAGAGAAAAUAUUGAAGAUAGAGAGAGCGAGGUAUGGGGAUGAUUGUAAUACUUUUUAUUACAUAUAUGGGUAUGGGAGCUUGUUCAAGUGGGCCCGAACGGCUGGUAGUGAGCGAAAGAACAUCGGUAUACCAUCACAGAACACACCCAAUAAAAAGAUCGACUUGCAUGUAAAUUUCAGCAACACAAAUUUAGUUCUGCCACUUACCAAUCGUGGGGCUAGUCUGAUGAAAAUGUGCCAUUACUUUUAACGUCAAUAAUCAUUUGUCUAAAUCAAAUGACCGCUUUUGUAAAAGUCAUUUUCUGAAAAGAACUUUUAUAAAUUUCAAUAGAAAAAAUUUAAGAUGUAAUAGACACUGAUAUAAUCGUCGAAGAGCAUCAAUUUACCUAGAGAAGAGCCAUUGGAGUUUUCAAAUUCCAUUGUUACAGAGAAAAUUAGUAGGUUUGACAAAUAAAAAUCGAUUUUUGACUAGCUGGAACGAGUAUGAACAAUUUAACACUUAAGAAAAUGGUAAUGUAUCAAGUUCAUCUGAAUAUAACUAUCAAAAUUGAGCAGUUAAAAACAUUGAAGAGAUAUGAAAUUGGAACAUUUGAGUGAUUAGAUGAAACUUUGGAUAAUUAAAUGGAAGAAUACAUUAAUUAUAUAUUUAUAAAAUAAUUAAUUACAGUUAAAAAGUAUUCAGAGACAAGAUUUAUUAGUCAGUGUGAUUCUGGCCCAGGACGCAGAAAAACUUUGCGAAAAGCUGAAUAUCCUGAAAUGAAAACUCGUUUGUAUGUGUGGUUUUGUAGACAAAAAUAGAGGCAUGUCCCCAAUUUUAUCCGCUAAAGCAAUACAGUUUUAUACCAAUACAUAUGGAAAUUAUAAUUUUAGAGCUAGCAGUGACUGGAUUUGUAACUUUAGAAAAAGGCAUAGUCUGUGUGCUUUAAAAGUGUGUGGCGAAAAACAUGAUGAUCUAAGUGCCAUCAAUAUUUUCUUGUCAAAAUUUAAAUGGAAGGUAAGACAAUUAAAUCUUGUGGCUACUCAAAUAUACAACGCAGACGAAUCGGUCCUCUACUGGAAAAUGUUGCCGAAAAAAACGCUGGUUCGUUCUCAAGAGAAGACCGCACCAGGUCGAAAAAUAAGCAAAGAACGGGUAGCAUUUUUAGCAUGUUGCAAUGCCAUAAACUAAAUAUGCUAGAUAUAGGAAAGGCAAAACAUCCACUAGCAUUUAAAAACGCAGACAUUCCUGUUGAAUACAAAUCCUCUGCUAAUGCAUGGAUGACUACAAAGAUUUUUAUAGAUUGGUUUCAUCAAUCAUUUAUACCUCAAGUUAGGGGGCAUUUAAGAAGUUAUAAUUUGCCUGAAAAAGCGCUGUUAAUCAUAGAUAAUGCCUUGAGUCAUGGAACUGUAUAAGAGCUAACUAGUGAAGAUGGAAGAUUUAAAACAUUAUUCCUCCCACCAAAUUGUACAGCACUCUUGCAGCCUUUGGAUCAAAAUGCUAUCAGACUAAUAAAAUUAUUGUACCAAAAAAGCCUUUUAGCCCACACAGCAUUGUUAAAAAAUCUUAACCUAAAAGUUGCAGUAUGUCUGCUAUGCAAUGCUUGGGAAAAGGUCUCUUCUGAAGUUUUGAAGAAGUGCUGGGACAAAAUUAUGUCCGAUAACAAAGACAUUGAAUAUGAUGCUGAAGAUCUAAUUCCUCUUAAGUGAAUUACGCCUUAAUCUGCUUUCUUUGGAUGGAGAUAGGGGAAAGUAAAUAAAAACUGCCGAAUAGCAAUUUCAUAAAAACUAAUAAACAAAUUUUUUUUUA